UCAGCAACCAUCGUGUCCCAA
rnacentral:piRNA from 1 species